UGGCUCAAGAUCUUCAAACCAAGAUCC
rnacentral:piRNA from 1 species